rnacentral:rRNA from 1 species
ACUCCUACGGGAGGCAGCAGUGGGGAAUAUUGCACAAUGGGCGCAAGCCUGAUGCAGCAACGCCGUGUGAGUGAAGAAGGUUUUCGGAUCGUAAAAACUCUGUCCUAAGGGAAGAAACAAAUGACGGUACCUUAGGAGGAAGCCCCCGGCUAACUACGUGCCAGCAGCCGCGGUAAUACGUAGGGGGCAAGCGUUAUCCGGAAUCACUGGGCGUAAAGGGUGCGUAGGCGGCUUAGCAAGCCAGGGGUGAAAGGCAUUGGCUCAACCAAUGUAAGCCCUUUUGGAACUGUUAAGCUUGAGUGCAGGAGAGGUAAGUGGAAUUCCUAGUGUAGAGGUGAAAUUCGUAGAUAUUAGGAGGAACACCAGUGGCGAAGGCGACUUACUGGACUAGUAACUGACGCUGAUGCACGAAAGCGUGGGUAGCGAACAGGAUUAGAUACCCUGGUAGCACAGAG